rnacentral:rRNA from 1 species
GACGAACGCUGGCGGCGUGCUUAACACAUGCAAGUCGAGCGGAGCGGCGAACGGGUGAGUAACGCGUGAGUAACUGCCCCCCUCUCUGGGAUAACAGUUGGAAACGGCUGCUAAUACCGGAUCGUGGGGGAUGACUCGCGUCCUAUCAGCUUGUUGGUGGGGUAGGGGCCCACCAAGGGGACGACGGGUCGCCGGCCUGAGAGGGCGACCGGCCACAAUGGGAUGAGUUACGGCCCAAAAUCCUACGGGAGGCAGGUGUGGGGAAUAUUGCACAAUGGGGGAAACCCUGAUGCAGCAACGCGCGUGCGGGUGGACGGCCUUCGGGUUGUAAACCGCUUUCAGCCAUGACGCGGUAGUGGCAUAAGAAGCACCGGCUAACUUCGUGCCAGCAGCCGCGGUAAUUC